ACGAACGCCAUGAAGAAGCGAUAAAGGAAUCACAAGAAAGGAUUAAUAUUCCAGACAUUCCAGAGGCACAAGUUGAUAAAAAGAACAGGCGAUUGGGUUAAUUCAAUUAUUCCACCCGAAAACACUUUACCUAGCAUGAAAGAUCAAACCUUACUGUAUCUAGCAGUUACUAAAUAACAAAACAAAACUUGCUAAAAUGACAUCCGGACGUAUUUGACGGUGAUGCAGCAGCACUGAAAAUCACAUUUGCAACGUAGCAGCAAAACACCCUCUUCAAAAAGGAGUUCUGCUAGGUUGAAUCCAUGGAAAUCCAUGGAAAGGAGCUUUUAACUAUGAUUAAGAAGCAUAUGUCACCGCGGAACAAGGGAUCAACUACUUACAGAGUUUUACCUGUGGGGAAGUCCAACACGUUGUCGACAACUUCCGGAGCACCAAUAUGACGCUUCAUACUUCAAUGAGGGUGACCACACAAGCUUGAGCUUCAAGAAUUCGCAAACCUCUGCAGACGUGAACAGUCAAAUCAAGCACUUGGCUUGUUUGAAUUAUCCUGGAGGUAUCCGGCCAAUUGUCGAGAAGCAUUCCUAAGAGCGAAGUAAGAGAAGGAGGUUGUCACGCAAGCAAAGAUCAAAAAUCAUCUGAACAUUCUUGUCGGAAGCUUCCAAAAAGAAGAAGACCAAAGAACUCUGUUGUAAGAACAGGAAGGAAAGCUCUCGAGACCCAACUCCAUCAAUAGUAAAAAGAACUGGUGCCCAUAUCACAAUUGCGACCGUGUUGGUCAAGUGGAGAACAAAAUCUUUUGGUGAAAAGACGGAUUGGAUACAGAAAGCCGGAUUGUGCUUUCGCUGCCCAUCGGAAGGGCACCAGGCCAACAACUGCCGAGCUAAGAUUAGUUGCACUA